rnacentral:rRNA from 1 species
AUUGAACGCUGGCGGAAUGCUUUACACAUGCAAGUCGAGCGGCAGCGCGGGGCAACCUGGCGGCGAGCGGCGAACGGGUGAGUAAUACAUCGGAACGUGCCCAGACGUGGGGGAUAACUACUCGAAAGAGUGGCUAAUACCGCAUACGAUCUACGGAUGAAAGCGGGGGAUCGCAAGACCUCGCGCGUCUGGAGCGGCUGAUGGCAGAUUAGGUAGUUGGUGGGAUAAAAGCCUACCAAGCCAACGAUCUGUAGCUGGUCUGAGAGGAUGAUCAGCCACACUGGGACUGAGACACGGCCCAGACUCCUACGGGAGGCAGCAGUGGGGAAUUUUGGACAAUGGGCGAAAGCCUGAUCCAGCCAUUCCGCGUGCAGGAUGAAGGCCCUCGGGUUGUAGAGCUCUUUCGGCGGGGAAGAAAUUGCACGGGUUAAUACCCUGUGUAGAUGACGGUACCCGAAUAAGAAGCACCGGCUAACUACGUGCCAGCAGCCGCGGUAC